rnacentral:rRNA from 1 species
UACAGAGGUCUCAAGCGUUGUUCGGAUUCAUUGGGCGUAAAGGGUGUGUAGGUGGCGCGCUAAGUCGGGUGUGAAAUUUCGGAGCUUAACUCCGAAACUGCAUUCGAUACUGGCGUGCUUGAGGACUGGAGAGGAGACUGGAAUUCAUGGUGUAGCAGUGAAUGCGUAGAGAUCAUGAGGAAGACCAGUGGCGAAGGCGGUCUCUGGACAGUUCCUGACACUGAGGCACGAAGGCCAGGAGCAACGGG